CCUACGGGUGGCUGCAGUGGGGAAUAUUGGACAAUGGGCGAAAGCCUGAUCCAGCCAUGCCGCGUGUGUGAAGAAGGCCUUCGGGUUGUAAAGCACGUUCAGUGGGGAAGAAAGCCUUGGGGCUAAUACCCUCGAGGAAGGACAUCACCCACAGAAGAAGCACCGGCUAACUCCGUGCCAGCAGCCGCGGUAAUACGGAGGGUGCGAGCGUUAAUCGGAAUUACUGGGCGUAAAGCGCGCGUAGGCGGUCUGAUAAGCCGGUUGUGAAAGCCCCGGGCUCAACCUGGGAACGGCAUCCGGAACUGUCAGGCUAGAGUGCAGGAGAGGAAGGUAGAAUUCCCGGUGUAGCGGUGAAAUGCGUAGAGAUCGGGAGGAAUACCAGUGGCGAAGGCGGCCUUCUGGACUGACACUGACGCUGAGGUGCGAAAGCGUGGGUAGCAAACAGGAUUAGAUACCCUGGUAGUC
rnacentral:rRNA from 1 species